CCGAGUGCGGUUCCCACCAGGGACCCCUCGGGCCGCUGGCUCCGGCCGCGAGACGCAUUUGCUUCCCGUCCGAAGGACGCUGCAACCGGUUGGGAGACGGCCUGAAGGUCGGACGAUCGGAAGGUAGCCGGCGCGCUCCUCGUGGGCGUCGUCUGUGUUAUAGCCGGUCCGGCGAUGGCUCGUGACCCGACCGUGGUGUCGCUAAGCCCACUUGGGCUUCCCCGCCUCCUCUCUCGAAGACUGCGGACGAGUUUCGCGGCAAGGGCUCUCCAGAAGUUUCUGCUUGCGCACGGGACGAGCCCGUGGCUCGUGGACUGGGGUCCUUGGUGGCCGCGCGAGAUCCGUCGGAGGCCGGCGGUUGGCAGCGAGUAGAUCGGUCACCCACCCGACCCGUCUUGAAACACGGACCAAGGAGUCUAACAUGUGUGCGAGUCAAUGGGUCUUGAUUAGGCCCAGAGGCGCAAUGAAAGCAAAGGCCGGACUCGACGCCGGCCGAGUUGAGAUCCCUCCACCUCCGAGUGGGGGGCGCACCAACGACCCGUCCUCUCCGAUUCAUCGGUUGGGCGGAGUCCGAGCAUACACGUUGGGACCCGAAAGAUGGUGACCUAUGCCCGGGCAGGAUGACGC
rnacentral:rRNA from 1 species